UAUUGUAUCGAAUGAAAUUUG
ensembl:piRNA 21ur-295 ncRNA